UCGNNCGGCAGCACAGGAGAGCUUGCUCUCUGGGUGGCGAGUGGCGGACGGGUGAGGAAUACAUCGGAAUCUACUCUGUCGUGGGGGAUAACGUAGGGAAACUUACGCUAAUACCGCAUACGACCUACGGGUGAAAGUGGGGGACCGCAAGGCCUCACGCGAUUGAAUGAGCCGAUGUCGGAUUAGCUAGUUGGCGGGGUAAAGGCCCACCAAGGCGACGAUCCGUAGCUGGUCUGAGAGGAUGAUCAGCCACACUGGAACUGAGACACGGUCCAGACUCCUACGGGAGGCAGCAGUGGGGAAUAUUGGACAAUGGGCGCAAGCCUGAUCCAGCCAUACCGCGUGAGUGAAGAAGGCCCUCGGGUUGUAAAGCUCUUUUGUUGGGAAAGAAAUCCUGUCGGUUAAUACCUGGCAGGGAUGACGGUACCCAAAGAAUAAGCACCGGCUAACUUCGUGCCAGCAGCCGCGGUAAUACGAAGGGUGCAAGCGUUACUCGGAAUUACUGGGCGUAAAGCGUGCGUAGGUGGUUGUUUAAGUCUGUCGUGAAAGCCCUGGGCUCAACCUGGGAAUUGCGAUGGAUACUGGGCAACUAGAGUGUGGUAGAGGGUGGCGGAAUUCCCGGUGUAGCAGUGAAAUGCGUANAGAUCGGGANGAACAUCCGUGGCGAAGGCGGCCACCUGGGCCAACACUGACACUGANGCACGAAAGCGUGGGGAGCAAACAGGANUAGAUACCCUGGUAGUNCCACNCCCUAAACGAUGCGAACUGGAUGUUGGGUUCAACUUGNNCCCA
rnacentral:rRNA from 1 species